rnacentral:rRNA from 1 species
GACGGAGGGUGCUAGCGUUGUUCGGAAUGACUGGGCGUAAAGGGCGCGUCGGCGGCCGCUUGCGUCGGAUGUGAAAGCCCGGGGCUCAACCCCGGAACGGCAUCCGAUACGGGGCGGCUCGAGACCGAGAGAGGUGAGUGGAAUACCCAGUGUAGAGGUGAAAUUCGUAGAUAUUGGGUGGAACACCGGUGGCGAAAGCGGCUCACUGGCCCGAGACUGACGCUGAGGCGCGAAAGCGUGGGGAGCAAACAGG